AGGAUGCCCAGCGUCAUUUAGACGACUAAAAGUCGUCUAAGAAGCUGGAAGUCCCUCUAGUGUCUGUCUGGUAGACAGCCACUAGAGGACGACUUAACCCUGCAGGGUAGUUAUUGCAGUUUAUAAAAAACUAUAAUAAUUACACUUGCAGGGUUAAUGGUGAUGGGAGUUGGCACCCAGACUACUUCCAUGGGCUGAAGUGAUCUGGGUGCCUACAGUGUCCCUUUAAUCCUAAUUUGUCCUUUUUCAAUCGAUUUUGCUUAGACUAGAUAAGCCAGAGAUGGGAGACAGUUUGACAUGGUGCAGACCAAUGGCUUCCAGGCUCCCCCACAGCAUUACAUAGGGGCUCCCCCACAACAAUACACAUGCCAAACUUCUGGGCGCCUCCUGGUGUCUGGGCCUAGCCCAUGACUGAAUGCUUAAUGGGUGAGUAUGCCUGGGGACUCUUCACUGAGGCGAGUCAGGUGGCCUAGAGCAGUGUUCUGCAACCUUUUAAUACCCGCGGACCAGCGAAAAGAGGAGAAAUAUUUCGCGGACCGGCGUCAGACAGAAAUAAAAACCAAUAGUAUGUGUGAGGGAUGCAGUGUGUGUUUUGUGAGGGGGGCAGUGUGUGUGAAGG